rnacentral:rRNA from 1 species
AGCAUCGGAACGUACCCAGUAGUGGGGGAUAGCCCGGCGAAAGCCGGAUUAAUACCGCAUACGACCUGAGGGUGAAAGCGGGGGGACCGCAAGGCCUCGCGCUAUUGGAGCGGCCGAUGUCAGAUUAGGUAGUUGGUGGGGUAAAGGCCUACCAAGCCUGCGAUCUGUAGCUGGUCUGAGAGGGCGACCAGCCACACUGGGACUGAGACACGGCCCAG